GUGGUUGUAGCUCAGCUGGUUAGAGCGUCGGAUUGUGGUUCCGAAGGUCGCCGGUUCGAAACCGGUCUUCCACCCA
rnacentral:tRNA from 2 species